rnacentral:rRNA from 1 species
CACGGGUGCUUGCACCUGGUGGCGAGUGGCGAACGGGUGAGUAAUACAUCGGAACAUGUCCUGUAGUGGGGGAUAGCCCGGCGAAAGCCGGAUUAAUACCGCAUACGAUCUACGGAUGAAAGCGGGGGACCUUCGGGCCUCGCGCUAUAGGGUUGGCCGAUGGCUGAUUAGCUAGUUGGUGGGGUAAAGGCCUACCAAGGCGACGAUCAGUAGCUGGUCUGAGAGGACGACCAGCCACACUGGGACUGAGACACGGCCCAGACUCCUACGGGAGGCAGCAGUGGGGAAUUUUGGACAAUGGGCGAAAGCCUGAUCCAGCAAUGCCGCGUGUGUGAAGAAGGCCUUCGGGUUGUAAAGCACUUUUGUCCGGAAAGAAAUCCUUGGUUCUAAUAUAGCCGGGGGAUGACGGUACCGGAAGAAUAAGCACCGGCUAACUACGUGCCAGCAGCCGCGGUAAUACGUAGGGUGCGAGCGUUAAUCGGAAUUACUGGGCGUAAAGCGUGCGCAGGCGGUUUGCUAAGACCGAUGUGAAAUCCCCGGGCUCAACCUGGGAACUGCAUUGGUGACUGGCAGGCUAGAGUAUGGCAGAGGGGGGUAGAAUUCCACGU